CCUUGUUUGUGUAUUUCAAUUCUUUGUACAUUGGAAAGAAGUGGAACAAACACUUAUCUUUAUGACUGUGCGCAGGGACGAAGCUUCGGACGACACUGAUGACGUGAUCAGCAGCGACCGAACCGAGCACCGAUACAUUUGCUUUGCCUUGCACUGGUUCAUAUUUUGACACAAGUUUCGACGCUGGAGGGUCGGAGGUAACAACACUAGUGCGUGGCGUCCCAUGUGCUGCACGGAGCGUCUUUUGUGUCUCCCCAUUCCGCGUCAUCGACAGUGCCAGCCUGUCUGCCGACUGAGGUUGGAGGAGGAAGCGUGGCCUUCAAGCCGCCAAACCGGCGUCGUUGUGGUGCACCACCCUGGCGCAGGAGCACUGAAGCUUCUACGUCCCGCCAGUGGCUCACCUGCUGAAGCGGGCCUCUAAACAGUGCGGGACCCCCCACUGCUGUUCUGUUUGGGCUGUUUUUCUGUUGUGAUUUAAUCAAUCUUUUUGUGUGUGUGUGUGUGUGUGUGGGGCAGGGGGGGGGGGUCUCCUGGCUGGUAUUGCGUUACUAAUGGUGGCUAUUAUUUUUAUGAACAGGAUGUUGGUGCCACUGGUAGUAGUGACUGGCUGAUUCGAUGGUGGUUCGCUUCAUUUUUUCGUUGCAGUGCACCUCGGUGUCAAUAGUUGGUGUGUGUGUGUGUGGUUUUUUUUGUUUUUCACGUGUGGUGGAACAUUAGGCCCCUUCCCCCUCAGCAAGUCAACUCUGCCAGUGAGCGCUCAGUCUCAGCCCCUUUUUGUACGUUGCAUCCCUUGAUAACCUGAACGACUGAGAACCUGAGAAAGAUUUUAAAGAUUUUACGGAAAUUCCAUUGGUGAUGUUGUUGGCUUUUAAUAGUAAAUACAGAUCUCCCUCUUAGUAUUGCCACAUUAUCCUUAAAUGUCAGUUGGUCCAUAGUGACAAGUCCGAAAGAAUAUGUAUUUGGAUAUGUGACGCUCAGUCUAUAUGGACAGCUUCCACUCGGAUGUUGACAGACACUCCUGCCAAGGAGGAUGACGUCCGUCGUGACUCCAGGUCUCAGUGUGAAAGACAACUUGUAUAACAAUGAUCCAACUUUCUGUUUCAACACACAUUUUAUGAGAAUAAAUGAAAAAAAGAAAGUCUUGGUAUCUGUCGCAAUAGGAGAGUCUAAAAUAUAAGGCUAUGUAUUAAUUUAAAAAUAAUGGAAUAGAAGUUGAAAAAUGUUAAGUUAAAAAAAGUGCACCAGCGAACAAAGUGACAAGUAAAAGUAACUGUGUGGAGUGUGAAGGGAGUGACUGGUGGGAUGCCAGUCAGUCAGUG
ensembl:lncRNA